rnacentral:rRNA from 1 species
UACGAAGGGGGCUAGCGUUGCUCGGAAUUACUGGGCGUAAAGCGCACGUAGGCGGAUUGUUAAGUCAGGGGUGAAAUCCUGGAGCUCAACUCCAGAACUGCCUUUGAUACUGAGGAUCUUGAGUUCGGGAGAGGUGAGUGGAACUGCGAGUGUAGAGGUGAAAUUCGUAGAUAUUCGCAAGAACACCAGUGGCGAAGGCGGACUCACUGGCCCGAGUACUGACGCUGA